GCCCAGUGAGUGUGCCGGAGUCGCACGCGACGCUUCGAACGUCGAAGAAGGGGUUCGAUUCCUCUACUGGGUG
rnacentral:tRNA from 1 species